rnacentral:rRNA from 1 species
GACGAACGCUGGCGGCGCGCCUAACACAUGCAAGUCGAACGAGCGAGAGAGAGCUUGCUUUCUCGAGCGAGUGGCGAACGGGUGAGUAACGCGUGAGGAACCUGCCUCAAAGAGGGGGACAACAGUUGGAAACGACUGCUAAUACCGCAUAAGCCCACGACCCGGCAUCGGGUUGAGGGAAAGGGAGCAAUCCGCUUUGAGAUGGGCGUCGCGUCUGAUUAGCUAGUUGGUGAGGUAACGGCUCACCAAGGCAACGAUCAGUAGCCGGACUGAGAGGUUGAACGGCCACAUUGGGACUGAGACACGGCCCAG